rnacentral:rRNA from 1 species
GACGAACGCUGGCGGCGUGCCUAAUACAUGCAAGUAGAACGCUGAAGCGAGGAGCUUGCUCUUCUUGGAUGAGUUGCGAACGGGUGAGUAACGCGUAGGUAACCUGCCUGGUAGCGGGGGAUAACUAUUGGAAACGAUAGCUAAUACCGCAUAAAAUGGAUUAUCGCAUGAUAAUCCAUUGAAAGGUGCAAAUGCAUCACUACCAGAUGGACCUGCGUUGUAUUAGCUAGUUGGUGGGGUAACGGCUCACCAAGGCGACGAUACAUAGCCGACCUGAGAGGGUGAUCGGCCACACUGGGACUGGGACACGGCCCAGACUCCUACGGGAGGCAGCAGUAGGGAAUCUUCGGCAAUGGACGGAAGUCUGACCGAGCAACGCCGCGUGAGUGAAGAAGGUUUUCGGAUCGUAAAGCUCUGUUGUAAGAGAAGAACGAGUGUGAGAGUGGAAAGUUCACACUGUGACGGUAUCUUACCAGAAAGGGACGGCUAACUACGUG